CUGCUCUUGACAUCCAGAAGAGUACUAUGGAGAGAAGAGAUACAUAGGUGCCUUUGGGAAUUCUGAGACAGAUGCUGCAUGGCUCUCGUCAGCUCGUGUUGUGAAAUGUUGGGUUAAGUCCCGCAACGAGCACAACCCUUAUCCUUUGUUACCAGCGAUUUGGUCAGGAACUCAAAGGAAACUGCCGGUGAUAAACUGGAGGAAGGUGGGGAUGACGUCAAGUCAUCAUGGCCCUUACGAGUAGAGCUAUACACGUGCUACAAUCGCGCAUAAAAAGAGAAGCAAUCUCGCGAGAGUUAGCAAAUCUCAUAAAGUGCGUCGUAGUCCGGAUUGGAGUCUGCAACUUUCAACUCCAUGAAGUCGGAAUCGCUAGUAAUCGUGGAUCAGAAUGUCACGGUGAAUA
rnacentral:rRNA from 1 species